rnacentral:rRNA from 1 species
UACGAAGGGUGCGAGCGUUGUUCGGAAUUACUGGGCGUAAAGGGUUUGUAGGCAGCAAUGUAAGUCAAGUGUGAAAUCCCCGAGCUAAACUUGGGACGUGCAUUUGAAACUGUGUUUCUUGAGUAUCGUAGAGGGUGGUGGAAUUGUAGGUGUAGGAGUGACAUCCGUAGAGAUCUGCAGGAACAUCGGAGGCGAAAGCGACCACCUGGCCGAUGACUGACGCUGAGGAACGAAAGCGUGGGGAGCAAACAGG